rnacentral:rRNA from 1 species
GACGAACGCUGGCGGCGUGCUUAACACAUGCAAGUCGAACGGAAAGGCCCUGCUUUUGUGGGGUGCUCGAGUGGCGAACGGGUGAGUAACACGUGAGUAACCUGCCCUUGACUUUGGGAUAACUUCAGGAAACUGGGGCUAAUACCGGAUAGGAGCUCCUGCUGCAUGGUGGGGGUUGGAAAGUUUCGGCGGUUGGGGAUGGACUCGCGGCUUAUCAGCUUGUUGGUGGGGUAGUGGCUUACCAAGGCUUUGACGGGUAGCCGGCCGGAGAGGGUGACCGGCGAAACUGGAAUGGAGACACGGUCCAGAGUCCUAAGGGAGGAAGCGGCAGGGAAGCUUCCGCAAGGGGCGAAAGCCGGACGGAGAGACGCCGCGUGAGGGAUGAAGGUCUGCGGAGCGUAAAACGCUGUGAUGAGGGGAGAACAAAUGUGUAAGUAAAUAUGCACGUCUUGACGGGAACUAAUCAGAAAGCAACGGCUAACUACGUG